rnacentral:lncRNA from 1 species
CGGGGGAGCGUUCAUCCGGCAGCAGGCUGGCAGGCACCUACAGUCGUCGACGGCAAAUCCUAGCCCCUUCCCCCAAGGGGUCGGAGGAGCAAUUGCGUUUUGGCCUCAAAGAGAAAUCCUGUUGACUGGAACAAGGGCUGCUGCAGCCAGGGCUGGAACAAAACUUUUUAAGCCUAGAGCUGAGAAAACACCAGGUGGUAACAGGAGCUGCAAAUUGCUAAGUAACUCUGGCAAAGUUCCUCUGCACCCUCAUUUCCAGAAAAAAGCCCUGAGGCUGUUUUCUCUAUCUGUGGAGCGGCCUCCUUCCUUUAGCGAGUUCAGGUAUUCCCCCUGCCUUGAAAGCGCGCAUCUCCCCUCGCUUUCCCGCACCCCUCUUCUCCUUCCUCUCCUCAGGGUCCUGAGUUCACUUUGCACCCUUUCUGCAGGAUUUGCAGACGUAAGGAGGAGAGCAGCGAGAGCUGAUUUCGCCCCCACCUUUCUCUGCUUCUGCUAUCCAGCGUGCCGUGCACAGCCGUCAUCCAGGAGGCCACCGUUGGUCCUCAGCCUGUGCACGCAGCUGCUCCUGCGUUGCCGUAUGAACGGUCGAGGCUUCGCUGACAGAGAGCCUGGGGCUGCCUGCUUUCAGCCGCUAGAAGAUCAGAUGCCAUUUCAAGCAGGUCUGAGAAGGGACUGAAGAAGGUAAGGACUUCAGUCUCAAGUCAUAUGAAGCAAGAAAUAAGAAUAACUGGAAAUCGAGGACGAGAUGGAAUGCAGGCCGCUAAGGGGUAAGCGUAGCACAGGUAACUUACAAGUUGCUGAAAAGCACCACAAACAAAUGAGGUCUGAGUUCAGUACGUUUAACAAACGUACUCUCAAGUAAUCCUCUAGCAUUUCUCUACUGACUGAACCACAGCCGAGGCUUGCUGCGGGAAUGCAGGAUUUUGCAUGUCAAGCUUGCGAUUAGG